rnacentral:rRNA from 1 species
UACGUAGGGUGCGAGCGUUGUCCGGAAUUACUGGGCGUAAAGAGCUCGUAGGUGGUUUGUCGCGUUGUUCGUGAAAUCUCACGGCUUAACUGUGAGCGUGCGGGCGAUACGGGCAGACUGGAGUACUGCAGGGGAGACUGGAAUUCCUGGUGUAGCGGUGAAAUGCGCAGAUAUCAGGAGGAACACCGGUGGCGAAGGCGGGUCUCUGGGCCGAUACUGACGCUGAGGAGCGAAAGCGUGGGGAGCGAACAGG